rnacentral:lncRNA from 1 species
GCGGCGACAGCAGCCCGUUGGUGUGCGGCACGCUGCGGUCCGUACCCGGCCCGGGGCCCGCGCCCGCGCCCGGGUGGAAGCGGGCCUUGGCGUAGUUGCUCACGAACUGGUCCUGCAGGAAAGAGCCGGCCAUGGCGUAGCGGGCCCCGGGCACGAUCUGCGAGCGCGGCGAGUCGUUGGGCGAGGGGGUCAGGCGGUCCAUGUCACAGCCGGUGUAGAUCCUGCGGGAUUGUUUCAGAAACCCCUAGGAAAAAGCCGCGCACGCAGUAAUCAUGAAAGACUGGCCUUCACCCGUGUUCUGGAACCCGAGGUUUGCUGCUGGAAGCCUCCAAAGUACUUAGUGUCUAUUGUUUCCCCUGUGUGAAACUUUCACUCCCACCUCUACUAAUACAAACAAGAAUUACUACUCUGAAA